GCUAAAAAACUAGCUUAACACCUAAACCUUAAAAACAAAAUUUAAAAAGUUUAACCAGACCUAGAUAACCUGACUAAAACAUUCUUCCAUCCUAGUACGAGUGACAGAAAAGAUUCAUCAAAGCAAUAAAAAAAGUACCGCAAGGGAAAGCUGAAAAAGAAAUGAAAUAACCCAUUAAAGCCCAAAAAAGCAGAGAUUAUUCCUCGUACCUUUUGCAUCAUGAUUUAGCUAGCCCCCCUUGAGCAAAGAGAGCUUUAGUUCAAAGCCCCGAAACUAAGUGAGCUACCUCGAGACAGCUUAUUUUUAGAGCCAACCCAUCUCUGUGGCAAAAGAGUGGGAAGAUCUCCAGGUAGAGGCGACAAACCUACCGAACUUAGUUAUAGCUGGUUACCUGAGAAAUGGAUAAAAGUUCAGCCUCAUACUCCUCAACUCCCAAAAAGUUUUUACUAAGAAACGAGCAUGAGAAAUAUAUGAGAGUUAGUCAAAGGGGGUACAGCCCCUUUGAAAAAGAAUACAACCUUUACAGGAGGUUAAAGAUCAUAUCAAAAAAGACUACUGCCCAGGUUGGCCUAAAAGCAGCCACCCAUAUAGAAAGCGUUAAAGCUCAAACAGAUUAUAAUCUAUUAUUUAGACACUAAAUCUUAAACCCCUACCCAUAUCAGGUCAAUUCAUGCCCACAUGAGUAUGAUUCUGCUAAUAUGAGUAAUAAGAAGAAGUUCUUCUCCAAAGCCCAAGUGUAAGCUAGCCCGGACUAACCACUAACAAUUAACGAACCUAACCAAAGAAAGUAGUGUGAUUUAAAAAAUAAACAAGAAAGACUCACAAACACUUAAUCGUUACCCCUACACUGGAAGGCAUACAAGGAAAGACUGAAAGAAUAGGAAGGAACUCGGCAAAUACAAGCCUCGCCUGUUUACCAAAAACAUCGCCUCCUGCAAAACUCAACAUAUAGGAGGUCUUACCUGCCCAGUGACUACAAGUUAAACGGCCGCGGUAUUUUGACCGUGCAAAGGUAGCGCAAUCACUUGUCUUUUAAAUGAAGACCCGUAUGAAUGGUUAAACGAGGGCCUAACUGUCUCCCUACUCUAGUCAAUGAAAUUGAUCUGCCCGUGCAGAAGCGGACAUACACAUACAAGACGAGAAGACCCUUUGGAGCUUAAGAUAAAAGACCAAUUAUGUCAAUACUCCUAAAAAACUAAACUAAAUAACUACUGGUCUCAAAUCUUCGGUUGGGGCGACCACGGGGCAAAACAAAACCCCCAUGUAGAAAAGGGAAUACCCCCAAAACCAAGAGGGACACCUCUAAGAAGCAGAAAUUCUGACUAAAUGAUCCGGCCAUGCGCCGACCAACGAACCAAGUUACCCAAGGGAUAACAGCGCAAUCCCCUUCCAGAGUCCAUAUCGACAAGGGGGUUUACGACCUCGAUGUUGGAUCAGGACAUCCUAAUGGUGCAGCCGCUAUUAAGGGUUCGUUUGUUCAACGAUUAAAGUCCUACGUGAUCUGAGUUCAGACCGGAGCAAUCCAGGUCAGUUUCUAUCUGUAACGCCAUUUUCCCCAGUACGAAAGGACCGAGAAAACGGGGCCAAUGUCUAAAACACGCCCCUCCCUAACUUAAUGAAACCAACUAAAUUAAAUAAAAGGCGGGGCAUAAUAUAAAGAUCAAAAUAAGAUCUU
rnacentral:rRNA from 1 species